GAGAACUGGAGGAACAAAAAAGCAAAGGACAGGGGUUGAAAUAAGAACAAUUUAUGAGAAGUAGCGGUGAGAUAAGAAAACUGUGAUGAUACCAGUACUGACAUUGAGGCAAUUCUUCAUUCAAGCAUCAAAAUGGCAUCAAAAGUCCAGGCAAAGAAAGGACCAGUGACAGCCAGAGAAAAGAAAAUAUCCUGAAAAGAUGAUAGAACUGGUCUGAGAAACGUGGGACCAGACCAGUCCUGAGAGCCUUCUGAGAUUCAAGUAAUGAUCUGACAGAGGCCAGGAGAGCAGCAGUCCUGGCAGAUUUAUGCAUUUGAAGUGGCCCUCAAUGUUCCCCAUGUACCAUUGGCAAGUCCCCCAGGAUGACUUACAGUACAAGAGAAGCUGUAGAGAAGACAAUUAGGCCCUGGAAUAUGUUGACAUUUGCUACACACUGAAGUAUCGACCACCUGCCUCAAGAAAUGGCUCAAAGUUCAUUGCAUUUGAAAUGAUUCUGCUUUGAUCCCUGGCUCUGGAGAGAAGAUGGAGCAGUUUUGAACUACUUCUGGGAAUGACUGCAAAAUACACUGCAUUUUAAUACCUUUCUGCACUCAGCUUGGCAAUUU